GACUUAGUGGCGGACGGGUGAGUAAUGUAUGAGCAACCUGCCUUUCAGAGGGGGACGAACAGUUGGAAACGACUGCUAAUACCGCAUAAUGUAUUCAGGAGGCAUCUCCGGAAUACCAAAGGAGCAAUCCGCUGAAAGAUGGGCUCAUAUCUGAUUAGUUAGUUGGCAGGUAACGGCCUACCAAGACUGCGAUCAGUAGCCGGACUGAGAGGUUGAACGGCCACAUUGGGACUGAGAUACGGCCCAGACUCCUACGGGAGGCAGCAGUGGGGAAUAUUGGGCAAUGGGCGAAAGCCCCUGACCCAGCAACGCCGCGUGAAGGAAGAAGGUCUUCGGAUUGUAAACUUCUUUUAUGAGGGACGAAGGACGUGACGGUACCUCAUGAAUAAGCCACGGCUAACUACGUGCCAGCCGCCGC
rnacentral:rRNA from 1 species